UACGGAGGAUCCAAGCGUUAUCCGGAUUUAUUGGGUUUAAAGGGUGCGUAGGCGGCCUAUUAAGUCAGGGGUGAAAGACGGUAGCUUAACUAUCGCAGUGCCUUUGAUACUGAUGGGCUUGAAUGUACUUGAGGUAGGCGGAAUGUGACAAGUAGCGGUGAAAUGCAUAGAUAUGUCACAGAACACCAAUUGCGAAGGCAGUUCUCUAAAGUAUGAUUGACGCUGAGGCACGAAAGCGUGGGGAUCAAACAGG
rnacentral:rRNA from 1 species